CACCCGCGCGAGGCCCCGGGGCGCGUCACGGCGGCGGCUGCGGCGGCUGCGGCGGCGACUUCCCGGCUCCCGCCCUCGCCCCGCACGCACGCGCACUGCGCCCGCCAUGAGGGUCGCUGCUCUGAUCAGUGGUGGGAAGGAUAGCUGUUACAAUAUGAUGCAGUGCAUUGCUGCUGGGCAUCAGAUUGUUGCUUUAGCAAAUCUGAGACCAGCUGAAAACCAAGUGGGAUCAGAUGAACUGGAUAGCUACAUGUAUCAGACAGUGGGUCAUCAUGCCAUUGAUUUGUAUGCAGAAGCGAUGGCCCUUCCCCUCUAUCGCCGCACCAUACGUGGAAGGAGUGUGGAUACAGGACGAGUGUACACCAGAUGUGAAGGUGAUGAGGUGGAAGAUCUCUAUGAGCUUUUGAAACUUGUUAAGGAAAAAGAAGAAGUAGAGGGGAUAUCAGUAGGUGCUAUACUUUCCGACUAUCAGCGUGUUCGAGUAGAAAAUGUGUGUAAAAGGCUUAAUCUCCAGCCUUUAGCUUACCUUUGGCAGAGAAACCAGGAAGAUUUGCUCCGAGAGAUGAUAUCAUCUAACAUUCAAGCAAUCAUCAUCAAAGUAGCAGCUUUGGGUUUAGAUCCAGAUAAGCAUCUUGGAAAAACCCUGGAUCAAAUGGAAUCUUAUCUCUUAGAGCUUUCUAAGAAGUACGGAGUCCAUGUUUGUGGAGAAGGUGGAGAGUAUGAAACAUUCACUUUGGAUUGCCCUCUAUUUAAGAAGAAAAUAAUUGUGGAUUCAUCAGAGGUGGUCACACAUUCAGCUGAUGCAUUUGCACCUGUUGCUUAUCUACGCUUUUUGGAAUUGCACUUGGAGGACAAGAUCAGGAAAUAAGACAUUCCCAAGAAUACAGAAAUCCUCCUCUCAGCUUCAUGACUUUCCUCGUCACUGUUCUUCCCCUCUCCUGACAGUAACCACCAUUCUCACAAUCAAUACCACAGUACCAUUAAAUCUAGGAGAAUGGAAUUGAAAAGGUAUCAUUUUGGUCCAUCUAUCUGAAAAGCAUGAAAAAUUUCUCAGCUGUUAACUCAGCAUAUGUGACCGCAUUCAAACUCUUCCUGCCUGUAAGGUUGCCUUGCCUAUCAUAAGGACAUAAAGAUUGGUGAUGGUCUCUCUCAUCCCAAAGAAAUCCUACACGUUCAGAGUACUUCUUAUUGGGCGCCUGCUAGCAAUGGACCAUAUGGCCAGUCUGUCAAGGAAGAACACGAGUGUCACAGCAAUGCCAGUAAUGACUCAGGCCAUAUCCUGCUGGUCGUAGUAGUUCUCCGUCUCCCCAGAGAGGCUGCUAUUAAAUGACAUAUCAUUGCAGUGGCCAACGAACCAUUUAGAAGGAAGCACUUUACUUUGAAGAAGAUAUCUGAGGGUUUUCAAGUUGAAUGUGAAACUGUGGCCCCCAGUUCUGUACCCAAGACACCGUGUCCCUUUCCUUAAAAUGGACAUCACCUUCUAUUUCCUCACCUGAUUCAAACAGGAUUCUAGAAGACCUGAUGACUGUGUUUCCACAGGCAAGAAGACUCUGAAAACAGCCAAGCCGCACCACUGUGUUUUAGAAGAUACUACAAAAAAACCAACCUUCAUGACAACGUCCUAGAGGCAGGUAAGGGAGCUAUUAGAAGCUGAAACGAAGUACAGACUGUGGAAUCCCAUCAUUGAGGACUAUCAGAGAGAGAGGGAGAAAACCUGAGCAGUGUGGGAGGCUUGGCCCCCAGUCCAGUCAGUGAGGGGGGCGGGAGAUGGGAGUGCAUUAUUUCCUUUGCUCAUCUCACUUCUCUUACACCUUUUGUGUGAACCCUUCACUACCCCAUGAGUGAUUUAAAGUGUUUAAAGAAAUUUACUUCUUUCAACUAUAUAACCCUCUAUUAUAUUCCAAACCAUGUUGUACACAUUAUAUACGUAGAUAUUAGUGCAGAGGUGUGUGUGCACAGUACCACGAGCACUACACUGGAGAGAUGAUCAACCCCACGUAAAUCUGACUCCACGGUACCCGCACGUAACGGAGGGCCAAAAUCUCACCCCCCAAACCAGCUCUGACUCAAACGGGAGCUCUACUACUGUGUCCCCAAGGCAUUUUACUAAAAGGGCUUCGAUCGUCCUCCCGAGAGAAAUGCAGCAGUGCACACUUGGUGUCUUUCUCUUUGUGCCUGGCUACCAAAGCAAGGGGGUUGAACCAAAAGGCACGCUUCAUUCUCCUGAAGCAAGUCAUGCUCAAGAGUCAAAACUCAAGGCCUAGCAACUGGCUGGUUUCCACUUGGAACGGCAACGGCAAGUUCUCAGUCUUUCCAGGCGGAUGGAAGUUUUGGUUUUCACUGGACCAGCCUCAUGUAAAUAGGACUGACUGAAUCUGAUUCAGAACAAUCAAUCCCAAUUUGAUGUACUAUUCCUUUAUCGUAUUAACCUAAAUUGUGUACAAAGCCCCUCAGUGGGUUUUAAAAUGCAGCAGUACCUCAGGCCUUGCUAUAGGUGUAUUUUAAUUCAAUAUUUGCAAAUUGAAUUGUGCUUUGAACGUUUUAUGGAGGUGAGCUUUUAAAAUGCAUCACUUCCUAUAUCAGAUACUUCUAAAGUAAAGUGAAUAGCAA